GUCCUGAUGGUGAUAAUCAUAUCUCAUUUUCAAUGAGAAGAAAAGGGGAUU
rnacentral:tRNA from 1 species